UUAGCUAAAUUUAGAGUAAUUUUGAACUUAGAAGUCAUGAUGAUUCACGCCGGAUAUAAAGAAAAUGAAUUUAUUUUAAUUCCAACAAAAAUGAUUUACAAAAAAAAAAAACAUUUGUAAAUUUAGUUAUUAAAUUUAUAUGCAUUUCAUAUUUAUUUAUAUUAAGCAUUUAGCAUCUACACGAGCUAUUUAUUUAAGCAAACACUGAACGAUUAUUACAGUUUUCAUAGUACAACCCGGAAGACUUUUUAUUUUAUUCAAUCACCUAAUUUCUCCACCUAAUUUAUCCACCUACUCUUCCACCACUAAUAUUUUCUUUUCCCUACCACUAACUUAUUUUUAUCUAAUAAACAUGAGUGGAAGUGUGAUGAGUGAAGAUAGGAUUAGUGUGCUAAGGUGGUAGGGAACCAAGCUUUAAUCAUGAAUAAUGCUUUGUCCUUAAUCAUUCUUCCAUUUCAAGACAAAGCUCAUCACUUCACUCCCUCACACUUAAAUUCUCGGCCUCCCCUCUCUCUCUCUAUACUCUCUUUUCCUCCAUUGAUGUCCAUUGAAGAAAGCUUAGAGAAGCUUCAUCAAACACUACUAUGAGAUAAUCCACCAUCCAAUCCAAUCAAAUACUAUCAUAUCUCAUCAAAUUCAAGAAGCUAGAGCUAAGAUCAAAGUUGGAGCAAAGUCUUGAUCACCUUUUAAAUCCUUGAGCUUUGUGAUGACCAGGAGGAUUAGCGCUACUUUUCCAAGACAGGUUUAUAUGUGUAUGAUCUUCAGGCUUUGCCUAUCCAGGUUGGCUGGCUGGUGCUGACGGGACGGAGCUGAGGCUAGAGUUAAAAUUCAUAUGUUAGACUUCCGCUGUAGCAAUUACUCAUAUCAGUCUUUUGUUUUCCCAACUUAAGAUCUUCAUGUUAAAUUUCAAAUGAUAUACCUGACCGAGCUUAGACUCUUCACUACUAAAUUUAUGCCAAUGAAUGUCGGUUGUCAGAAGCAUGAAACAAAACUUGUGAUCCAAAGGGGCAUAGCCCGACUUUCUAUCCUAUUUCGGGUUUUUACAAGGU